rnacentral:rRNA from 1 species
UACGAAGGGGGCUAGCGUUGUUCGGAAUUACUGGGCGUAAAGGGCGCGUAGGCGGCUUUAUAAGUCAGGCGUGAAAGCCCCGGGCUUAACCUGGGAACUGCGCUUGAGACUGUAAGGCUUGAGUACCGGAGAGGUGGGUGGAAUUCCCAGUGUAGAGGUGAAAUUCGUAGAUAUUGGGAAGAACACCGGUGGCGAAGGCGGCCCACUGGACGGUUACUGACGCUGAGGCGCGAAAGCGUGGGGAGCAAACAGG